rnacentral:rRNA from 1 species
UACGGAGGAUGCGAGCGUUAUCCGGAUUUAUUGGGUUUAAAGGGUGCGCAGGCGGCACGGCAAGCCGGCGGUCAAAUCGCGGGGCUCAACCCCGCCCAGCCGUCGGAACUGCCGGGCUAGAGUGGGCGAGAAGUAUGCGGAAUGCGUGGUGUAGCGGUGAAAUGCAUAGAUAUCACGCAGAACUCCGAUUGCGAAGGCAGCAUACCGGCGCCCUACUGACGCUGAGGCACGAAAGCGUGGGUAUCGAACAGG